rnacentral:rRNA from 1 species
GAUGAACGCUGGCGGCGUGCUUAACACAUGCAAGUCGAACGGAAAGGCCCAAGCUUGCUUGGGUACUCGAGUGGCGAACGGGUGAGUAACACGUGGGUGAUCUGCCCUGCACUUCGGGAUAAGCCUGGGAAACUGGGUCUAAUACCGGAUAGGACCACUUCUUGGAUGUUGUGGUGGAAAGUUUUUUCGGUGUGGGAUGAGCUCGCGGCCUAUCAGCUUGUUGGUGGGGUAAUGGCCUACCAAGGCGUCGACGGGUAGCCGGCCUGAGAGGGUGUAAGGCCACCUUGGGACUGAGGUGCGGCCCAGACUCCUACGGGUGGAAGCAGUGGGGAAUAUUGCACCAUGGGCGCCAGGCUGAUGCAGCGGCGCCGCGUGGGGGAUGACGGCCUUCGGGUUGUAAACUACUUUCGCUAGGGACGACGCGUUUUGUGACGGUACCUGGAGAAGAAGCACCGGCUAACUACGUG